rnacentral:rRNA from 1 species
CGUUCUGUAAGCCUGUGAAGGUGUGCUGUGAGGCAUGCUGGAGGUAUCAGAAGUGCGAAUGCUGACAUAAGUAACGAUAAAGCGGGUGAAAAGCCCGCUCGCCGGAAGACCAAGGGUUCCUGUCCAACGUUAAUCGGGGCAGGGUGAGUCGACCCCUAAGGCGAGGCCGAAAGGCGUAGUCGAUGGGAAACAGGUUAAUAUUCCUGUACUUGGUGUUACUGCGAAGGGGGGACGGAGAAGGCUAUGUUGGCCGGGCGACGGUUGUCCCGGUUUAAGCGUGUAGGCUGGUUUUCCAGGCAAAUCCGGAAAAUCAAGGCUGAGGCGUGAUGACGAGGCACUACGGUGCUGAAGCAACAAAUGCCCUGCUUCCAGGAAAAGCCUCUAAGCAUCAGGUAACAUCAAAUCGUACCCCAAACCGACACAGGUGGUCAGGUAGAGAAUACCAAGGCGCUUGAGAGAACUCGGGUGAA